GACGAACGCUGGCGGCGUGCUUAACACAUGCAAGUCGAACGGAAAGGCCCUGCUUUUGUGGGGUGCCCGAGUGGCGAACGGGUGAGUAACACGUGAGUAACCUGCCCUUGACUUUGGGAUAACUUCAGGAAACUGGGGCUAAUACCGGAUAGGAGCUCCUGCUGCAUGGUGGGGGUUGGAAAGUUUCGGCGGUUGGGGAUGGACUCGCGGCUUAUCAGCUUGUUGGUGGGGUAGUGGCUUACCAAGGCUUUGACGGGUAGCCGGCCUGAGAGGGUGACCGGCCACAUUGGGACUGAGAUACGGCCCAGACUCCUACGGGAGGCAGCAGUGGGGAAUAUUGCACAAUGGGCGGAAGCCUGAUGCAGCAACGCCGCGUGCGGGAUGACGGCCUUCGGGUUGUAAACCGCUUUCGCCUGUGACGAAGCGUGAGUGACGGUAAUGGGUAAAGAAGCACCGGCUAACUACGUGCCAGCAGCCGCGGUGAUACGUAGGGUGCGAGCGUUGUCCGGAUUUAUUGGGCGUAAAGGGCUCGUAGGUGGUUGAUCGCGUCGGAAGUGUAAUCUUGGGGCUUAACCCUGAGCGUGCUUUCGAUACGGGUUGACUUGAGGAAGGUAGGGGAGAAUGGAAUUCCUGGUGGAGCGGUGGAAUGCGCAGAUAUCAGGAGGAACACCAGUGGCGAAGGCGGUUCUCUGGGCCUUUCCUGACGCUGAGGAGCGAAAGCGUGGGGAGCGAACAGGCUUAGAUACCCUGGUAGUCCACGCUGUAAACGGUGGGUACUAGGUGUGGGGUCCAUUCCACGGGUUCCGUGCCGUAGCUAACGCUUUAAGUACCCCGCCUGGGGAGUACGGCCGCAAGGCUAAAACUCAAAGGAAUUGACGGGGCCCCGCACAAGCGGCGGAGCAUGCGGAUUAAUUCGAUGCAACGCGUAGAACCUUACCUGGGUUUGACAUGGAUCGGGAGUGCUCAGAGAUGGGUGUGCCUCUUUUGGGGUCGGUUCACAGGUGGUGCAUGGCUGUCGUCAGUUCGUGUCGUGAGAUGUUGGGUUAAGUCCCGCAACGAGCGCAACCCUUGUUCACUGUCGCCAGCACGUUAUGGUGGGGACUCAGUGGAGACCGCCGGGGUCAACUCGGAGGAAGGUGGGGAUGACGUCAAGUCAUCAUGCCCCUUAUGUCCAGGGCUUCACGCAUGCUACAAUGGCUGGUACAGAGAGUGGCGAGCCUGUGAGGGUGAGCGAAUCUCGAAAAGCCGGUCUCAGUUCGGAUUGGGGUCUGCAACUCGACCUCAUGAAGUCGGAGUCGCUAGUAAUCGCAGAUCAGCAACGCUGCGGUGAAUACGUUCCCGGGGCU
rnacentral:rRNA from 1 species